rnacentral:rRNA from 1 species
UGGGGAAUAUUGCACAAUGGAGGGAACUCUGAUGCAGCAACGCCGCGUGCGGGAUGACGGCCUUCGGGUUGUAAACCGCUUUCAGCCAUGACGAAGCUUUUGUGACGGUAGUGGUAGAAGAAGCACCGGCUAACUACGUGCCAGCAGCCGCGGUGAUACGUAGGGUGCGAGCGUUGUCCGGAAUUAUUGGGCGUAAAUAGCUUGUAGGCGGUUUGUCGCGUCGAUAGUGUAAACACGCAGCUUAACUGUGUGCCUGCUGUCGAUACGGGCUGACUAGAGGAGGGUAGGGGAGAAUGGAAUUCCCGGUGGAGCGGUGGAAUGCGCAGAUAUCGGGAGGAACACCAGUGGCGAAGGCGGUUCUCUGGACCUUUCCUGACGCUGAGAAGCGAAAGCGUGGGUAGCAAACAGG